rnacentral:rRNA from 1 species
CAAUAGCGUAUAUUAAAGUUGUUGCAGUUAAAAAGCUCGUAGUUGGAUUUCUGGUUGAAGCGACCGGCCGGGCGUUGAUUCGUCUGCACUGGAGUCGGUUUUGGCCAUCCUCUAGGAAAGUGCGUCUGGUAUUAAGUUAUCGGGCGUAUGAUCCUGGUCUUUUACUGUGAAAAAAUUAGAGUGUUUAAAGCAGGCCUUCGCCUUGAAUACAUUAGCAUGGAAUAAUAAGAUAGGACUUUGGUCUAUUUUGUUGGUUUGCAGACCGAAGUAAUGAUUAAUAGGGAUAGUUGGGGGUAUUUAUAUUCCGAUGUCAGAGGUGAAAUUCUUAGAUUUUCGGAAGAUAAACUUAUGCGAAAGCAUUUACCAAGGAUGUUUNCAUUAA